UACACACCGCCCGUCGCACCAUGGGAGUUGGCUUUACCUGAAGACGGUGCGCUAACCGCAAGGAGGCAGCCGGCCACGGUAGGGUCAGCGACUGGGGUG
rnacentral:rRNA from 1 species